AUUGAACGCUGGCGGCAGGCCUAACACAUGCAAGUCGAGCGGAUGAAGGGAGCUUGCUCCUGGAUUCAGCGGCGGACGGGUGAGUAAUGCCUAGGAAUCUGCCUGGUAGUGGGGGAUAACGUCCGGAAACGGGCGCUAAUACCGCAUACGUCCUGAGGGAGAAAGUGGGGGAUCUUCGGACCUCACGCUAUCAGAUGAGCCUAGGUCGGAUUAGCUAGUUGGUGGGGUAAAGGCCUACCAAGGCGACGAUCCGUAACUGGUCUGAGAGGAUGAUCAGUCACACUGGAACUGAGACACGGUCCAGACUCCUACGGGAGGCAGCAGUGGGGAAUAUUGGACGAUGGGCGAAAGCCUGAUCCAGCCAUGCCGCGUGUGUGAAGAAGGUCUUCGGAUUGUAAAGAACUUUAAGUUGGGAGGAAGGGCAGUAAGUUAAUACCUUGCUGUUUUGACGUUACCAACAGAAUAAGCACCGGGUAACUUCGUG
rnacentral:rRNA from 1 species